rnacentral:rRNA from 1 species
CCUACGGGGUGCUGCAGUGGGGAAUAUUGGACAAUGGGCGAAAGCCUGAUCCAGCCAUGCCGCGUGUGUGAAGAAGGCCUUCGGGUUGUAAAGCACUUUCAGUGGGGAAGAAAGCCUUGGGGCUAAUACCCUCGAGGAAGGACAUCACCCACAGAAGAAGCACCGGCUAACUCCGUGCCAGCAGCCGCGGUAAUACGGAGGGUGCGAGCGUUAAUCGGAAUUACUGGGCGUAAAGCGCGCGUAGGCGGUCUGAUAAGCCGGUUGUGAAAGCCCCGGGCUCAACCUGGGAACGGCAUCCGGAACUGUCAGGCUAGAGUGCAGGAGAGGAAGGUAGAAUUCCCGGUGUAGCGGUGAAAUGCGGAGAGAUCGGGAGGAAUACCAGUGGCGAAGGCGGCCUUCUGGACUGACACUGACGCUGAGGUGCGAAAGCGUGGGUAGCAAACAGGAGUAGAUACCCCGGUAGUC